GGCUCGGCCUCGCCACCGCCAAGGCCCUCGCAGAGACCGGCAAAUGGCACGUCAUCAUGGCCUGCCGAGACUUCCUCAAGGCCGAGAGAGCCGCCAAAUCCGUCGGCAUGAACAAGGAGAACUACUCCGUCAUCCACCUCGACCUCGCCUCCCUCGACAGCGUCCGCCAGUUCGCCGACAACUUCCGCCGCUCCGGCCGCCCCCUCGACGCCCUCGUCUGCAACGCCGCCGUCUACCUCCCCACCGCCAAGGAGCCAACUUUCACCGCCGACGGCUUCGAGCUCAGCGUGGGCACCAACCACCUCGGCCAUUUCCUCCUCGCCCGCCUCCUCCUCGACGACCUCAAGAAGUCCGAUUACCCCAGCCGCCGCCUCAUCAUCGUCGGCUCCAUCACCGGUAAGCUCUCUCCCUUCCCUCCCUCCCUUGUCCACCGGCGGCGCCGCUGAUAUUUUCCGGCGAUCUCCAGGCAACACGAACACUUUGGCCGGGAA
rnacentral:lncRNA from 1 species